rnacentral:rRNA from 1 species
GACGAACGCUGGCGGCGUGCCUAAUACAUGCAAGUAGGACGCAGUUGCGAACGGGUGAGUAACGCGUGGGUAACUACCUGUUAGAGGGGGAUAACUGUUGGAAACGAUCGCUAAUACCGCAUACUAGUAGAUGGACCGGCGUUGGAUUAACUAGUAGGUUGGGUAAUGGCCUACCUAGGCUACGAUACCUAGCCGAGCCGGUAGGGUGAACGGCCAACAUGGGACGGGUAAAAGGCCCCGACUCCUACGGGAGGCAGCAGGAGGGAAUCUUCGGCAAUGGGGGGAAACCUGACCGAGCAACGCCGCGGGAUUGAAGAAGGUUUUUGGGUCGUAAAGCCCCGUUGUGAAGGAAGCGGUACUUAACCAGAAAGGGACGGCUAACUACGUGCCAGCCGCCGCGGUAAUUC